rnacentral:tRNA from 1 species
GGAUGGGUGGCCGAGCGGUUGAAGGCACCGGUCUUGAAAACCGGCAUGGCGGCAACGCCAUCGUGGGUUCGAAUCCCACCCCAUCCGCCA